UGAUGGUGGAAGCCAUCUUCUAUUGCAUUCUUUGCUCAAAUUGGUCUUGACUAUGUCUCAUACUCUCCUUUUAGGGUUCUAAUUGAAAGGCUUGCAUACACCUCAAGUUGUAGUUUAAAAAAUUUGUUAAUUUAGUGUAAGAGGGAUGAAUGACUAGCUUUCGAUUCUUUUACUGCUCUGUUGUUACAGCUCCUUUCAGUCCUUAACUGCUUUGUUACAUUCUUGCUUUCAGUCAUUUCUGUUUUAUGUGAGCAUUUAUUGUGGAGC